AAUGGACAGUUCGGGCUUAUCACACGAUGAACUCCAAUCGGAGACUCACCUUCCCAGUUUUUGUACGAGGCACGGCAGUCCGGACACACAACCUCGUCGUCUGUUAAUCCACGCUGGAACCCCGCUUCCACAAACUUUAAGGCGGCAGCCAUUUUUGUGACAAGGGCGACAACCCAUUUCCUGUGUGACCUGGAUGAGGGUCAACUGAGAUCAAGAUUGAGUUAGACGCCGUUGUUGUUGACUGCUGACUUAGUGCUUAUUGUUGGUUUGAAAUAAAGAUGUAAAGUUU